rnacentral:ncRNA from 1 species
CUUGGUGAUAAUGGAAAAAGGGGUACACCUGAUACCAUUCCGAACUCAGAAGUUAAGCCUUUUAUCGCCGAUGGUACUGUACACAAGAGUAUGGGAGAGUAGGUCGUUGCCAAGCUUUUAUUUACUUUAAUUUUUAUAAGUUCUGAAAAGAGAGCAAAAGCUUUGCUCUCUUUUUUUUCUUUUCGUAUUUCAAUAGAAAAUUACCCAAUAACACAGCUGGGUUCAAAACGUCGUGAGACAGUUUGGUCUCUAUCCUUUGUGGGCGCAGGAUGCUUGAGAGGAGCUGUUCCUAGUACGAGAGGACCGGAAUGGACGAACCAAUGGUGUGUC